rnacentral:rRNA from 1 species
AAUCAACGCUGGCGGCGUGCCUCAGACAUGCAAGUCGAACGAUUAAAGCUCUCUUCGGAGAGUGUAUAGAGUGGCGCACGGGUGAGUAACACGUAAGUAAUCUACCUUCGAGUGGGGAAUAACCCGGGGAACCCGAGCUAAUACCGCAUAAUGCAGCGGCAUCUAAUGAUGACAGUUGUUAAAGAUUUUAUCGCUUGAAGAGGAGCUUGCGGCAGAUUAGCUAGUUGGUAAGGUAAUGGCUUACCAAGGCUACGAUCUGUAACCGGUCUAAGAGGACGGUCGGUCACACUGACACUGAAUAACGGGUCAGACUCCUACGGGAGGCAGCAGUCGGGAAUUUUGGGCAUGGGCGAAAGUCUGACCCAGCAACGCCGCGUGAAGGAUGAAGUAUUUCGGUAUGUAAACUUUCGAAAGAAUGGGAAGAAUCAAUGACGGUACCAUUUAUUAAGGUCCGGCUAACUACGUGCCAGCAGCCGCAGUAAU